GGCGGGGUGGAGCAGUCCGGUAGCUCGCUGGGCUCAUAACCCAGAGGUCGACAGUUCAAAUCUGUCCCCCGCAACAA
rnacentral:tRNA from 1 species